AACGAACGCUGGCGGCGUGGAUAAGACAUGCAAGUCGAACGGGAACUUCAGCUGUAGCAAUACAGUUGAAGUUUUAGUGGCGAACGGGUGCGUAACACGUGGGCAAUCUGCCGAGAAGUGGGGGAUAGCUCGCCGAAAGGCGAAUUAAUACCGCAUAUGAUCAGCUAAGACAUCUUAGCGACAUCAAAGCCGGGGCAACCUGGCGCUUUUUGAGGAGCCCGCGGCCUAUCAGCUAGUUGGUGAGGUAACGGCUCACCAAGGCUAUGACGGGUAGCUGGUCUGAGAGGACGACCAGUCACACUGGAACUGAGACACGGUCCAGACACCUACGGGUGGCAGCAGUCGAGAAUUUUUCUCAAUGGGGCAACCCUGAAGGAGCGACGCCGCGUGGAGGA
rnacentral:rRNA from 1 species